UACGUAGGGGGCGAGCGUUGUCCGGAUUUAUUGGGCGUAAAGAGCGUGUAGGCGGUUUGGUAGGUCCGUUGUGAAAACUCGAGGCUCAACCUCGAGACGCCGAUGGAAACCAUCAGACUAGAGUCCGGAAGAGGAGAGUGGAAUUCCUGGUGUAGCGGUGAAAUGCGCAGAUAUCAGGAAGAACACCCGUGGCUAAGGCGGCUCUCUAGUACGGUACUGACGCUGAGACGCGAAAGCGUGGGGAGCGAACAG
rnacentral:rRNA from 1 species